UGGGGAAUAUUGCACAAUGGAGGGAACUCUGAUGCAGCGACGCCGCGUGAGUGAUGAAGGAAUUCGUUUCGUAAAACUCUGUUCUAUGGGAAGAAAAGGACUGUACCAUAGGAGAAAGCUCCGGCUAAAUACGUGCCAGCAGCCGCGGUAAUACGUAUGGAGCGAGCGUUAAUCGGAAUUACUGGGCGUAAAGCGCACGUAGGCUGCUUUGUAAGUCAGGGGUGAAAUCCCACGGCUCAACCGUGGAACUGCCUUUGAUACUGCUUAGCUUGAAUCCGGGAGAGGGUGGCGGAAUUCCAGGUGUAGGAGUGAAAUCCGUAGAUAUCUGGAGGAACAUCAGUGGCGAAGGCGGCCACCUGGACCGGUAUUGACGCUGAGGUGCGAAAGCGUGGGGAGCAAACAGG
rnacentral:rRNA from 1 species